rnacentral:rRNA from 1 species
AUGUGGUGCCCGUUAGGAGUAGUGAAUUGCCUGAGUUGGAAUUGUCGGGGCGUUGGGGAAAAACCACUAGUUUGAUAUUUGGUAGUUUUAGUAAAGUCUACUAAUGCAAGGAUGGUGUUCUUGUGUGAAACUAGGCAAAAUUCAGAAAAAGUCUGUCGUUUGCAUAAUAGAAUAGGUCUAAGAUGUUUUGCUGGUAUCGAUAGUAAUGGUCUUAGUGGAGGUCUUGCCUUGUUUCGAUGUGAUCAGUUGUACGUUGAUGUCCAAGAUAUGAAUGAAAGGUUUAUCGAUGCGUAUGUCUGUGUCUCCCCUUCUACAUGGCUUUGGUGUCUUACUUGUGUUACAGUGAACCCCGAGUGGAAAAAAUUGAGGGCAAAUUCAGACCUUCCAUGGAGUGUUAUAGGGGACUUUAAUGAAGCCAUGUGGUUGUUUGAGCACCUUGCAACAACACAACGAAAUGAGAAUCAAAUGAUAGCAUUCAGUUAUUCUCUUGAAUGUUGCGACCUGGUGGAUUUGUGCUUCCAAGGUCCCCCUUUUACGUAUGACAAUAAGCAGACAAAAUAA